rnacentral:rRNA from 1 species
CUACGGGAGGCUCCAGUGGGGAAUAUUGCACAAUGGGGGAAACCCUGAUGCAGCCAUGCCGCGUGUAUGAAGAAGGCCUUCGGGUUGUAAAGUACUUUCAGCAGUGAGGAAGGGUGAUAAAUUAAUACUUUAUCAUUUUGACGUUAGCUGCAGAAGAAGCACCGGCUAACUCCGUGCCAGCAGCCGCGGUAAUACGGAGGGUGCGAGCGUUAAUCGGAAUUACUGGGCGUAAAGCGCAUGCAGGUGGUCUGUUAAGUCAGAUGUGAAAGCCCGGGGCUUAACCUCGGAAUCGCAUUUGAAACUGGCAGGCUAGAGUACUGUAGAGGGGGGUAGAAUUUCAGGUGUAGCGGUGAAAUGCGUAGAGAUCUGAAGGAAUACCGGUGGCGAAGGCGGCCCCCUGGACAGAUACUGACACUCAGAUGCGAAAGCGUGGGGAGCAAACAGGAUUAGAUACCCCUGUAGUC